ACCCAAUCUAAAACCUCUGAGAAAAACCUCCCUUGACCAACAUGGCGCUAUCGUCUCCUUCGUUCCAUCUUCCACUCCAGCCCCUCAUUACUCAUCCUAAACUGCACUGUUUUAGGCCUUUCAACUCUACAAGCUUUGCUUUCAUCAAUGGCGCAUUCGCUGCCACGUUACGUUUACCAGCAAUCUCUGCCCAAGCCAAAACCAGAGCCGAAAAGGAAGCUGCUUCACUGCUCCCCAUAACCAUCAGACGCAGAGAAGAUGAAGAGGAUGAGGUCGACACCGUAAAUAUCGCAGAAGAUGUCACUCAGUUGAUUGGAAGAACACCAAUGGUAUAUCUCAACAAAGUAACAGAGGGCUGUCAGGCAAACAUUGCUGCAAAACUUGAAUCUAUGGAACCCUGUCGGAGUGUGAAGGAUAGGAUUGGUCUGAGCAUGAUAUCUGAGGGGGAGGAAAGUGGAGCAAUAAUUCCUGGGAAGUCUAUAAUAGUGGAACCAACAAGUGGAAAUACUGGGCUGGGAAUUGCUUUUGUUGCAGCAGCUAAAGGAUACAAGGUUAUAGUCACUAUGCCAGCUUCCAUAGAUGUUGAAAGAAGGAUACUUUUACGUGCAUUUGGAGCAGAAAUAGUACUUACUGAUGCAGAGAAAGGUCUGAAAGGGGCUGUUGAUAAAGCUGAAGAAAUUGUUCUGAACACUCCAAAUGCAUACAUGUUUCAGCAGUUUGACAAUAUGGCAAAUACAAAGAUCCACUUUGAAACUACAGGAAAAGAAAUAUGGGAGGACACUCUGGGUAAUGUUGAUAUAUUUGUUGCUGGAAUUGGAACUGGUGGUACUGUUACAGGUGCUGGGAGUUACUUGAAAAUACUGAAUAAAGACAUAAAGGUAGUCGGUGUGGAACCUGCAGAGAGGAGUGUAAUAUCUGGAGACAAACCAGGUUAUAUACCAAGCAUCUUGAAUGUCAAAUUACUCGAUGAGGUUAUUAAGGUUACUAAUGUCGAAGCUGUUGAAAUGGCAAGAAGACUAGCUUUGGAGGAAGGCUUGCUGGUUGGUAUCUCAUCUGGUGCUGCUGCAGUUGCUGCGAUCAGCUUAGCUAGAAGGCCUGAAAAUGCUGGAAAGCUGGUUGUGGUUAUAUUCCCAAGUUUUGGCGAGCGGUAUAUUCCCACUGUUCUUUUCCAGUCUAUAUAUGAGGAGGUUCAAAAAAUGCAAGGAAGAUAGCCUGAAAUAUAUUCCGGGACCAUUCACAGUUUUACAGAAUUUUGCAUGUCCUCGUAUUUUCAAGUGGAAAGCAGCUGUAGUUGAUAAGUGCAACUCUCAUAUCAAGGCAUAUGACCUGGGAUUAAACUUUUGAUUGAUUGCAAGAGAUCAGCAGAAUUUUUUUAUCAGAGAAGUUGUUUCUGCAAGGGUUUGUUCUAGACAGGUGAUUGUGGCUUGCAUGAAUUGCCUCUCAAUCCUCAUUUUGUCAUCAUCCUGUGCCCAAAGGUAUCAAAUUUGAUCUUCAAGCGUGGACAUUAUGGUUUUGAAUCCAAUAGAUUAGGCGGUAGGAUCACUUAAAGUUUCCCAACUUUUUUAAUUAAUCUCUUGGAUGGGAAGAGGCUAGAAACCAAGGGGUAGAGUUUAAAGUUGAUAGUUGGAAAUCUAAAUUGAUUAGAUUUUCUUUUAAAGAACUCGUGUUAUCUUAAUUCAGUUAUAUUCAUAAAAAAAAAAAUAUAUAAAUUUAAAACUUGUAUUCUACAUUGACAAUAGAAGGAUGUCAUAAGGAAAUGGACUGGCAUGUUGCAUGUGUGUAGAGCUUCUUGUCUCUGUCUAUAACAAGCUUGGUUAAUGUAUUUUGAAUC